AUUGAACGCUGGCGGCAGGCCUAACACAUGCAAGUCGAGCGAGCGGCGGACGGGAUGGUAAUGUAUGGGGACUUCCCGAUGGAGGGGGAUAACUAACGGAAACGGUUGCUAAUACCGCAUACUAUCGGAUAACCCAUAUGGGAUUGGGUAGUAGGUGGGGUAAAGGCUCACCUAGGCGACGAACUCUAGCUGGUCGGAGAGGAUGAUCAGCCACACUGGGACUGAGACACGGCCCAGACUCCUACGGAGGCAGCAGUGGGGAAUAUUGCACAAUGGGCGCAAGCCUGAUGCAGCCAUGCCGCGUGUAUGAAGAAGGCCUUAGGGUUGUAAAGUACUUUCAGCGGGGAGGCGUUACCCGCAGAAGAAGCACCGGCUAACUCCGUGCCAGCAGCCGCGGUAAUUC
rnacentral:rRNA from 1 species